GACCUCUCCGGCCCAAUUAGCAUGAGAAUAGGCCCUCAAAUCAAGAGAUGAGUUGGAAGAAUACAAUAAGCCACAUAGGAGAGUGCCCUUGAUGUAGCGGAGAAUGCGAAGGACUGCAGCAAAAUGAGUGGAUCGUGGAACAGUCAUGGACUGACUAACAAGAUGUACAACAUAGGCAAUGUCAUGAUGAGUGAUAGUCAAGUAGACAAGACUACCAACAAGUUGUCUAUAAAAAGUAGCAUCAGAUAGAGGUUCUCCAUCAGUGGCUCGCAACUUGGCAUUGAGUUCUAGAGGCAUGUCAGUAGUUUUGUUCUCAGUCAGGCCUACUCAUGAUUGUAA